rfam:Rattus norvegicus chromosome 1, whole genome shotgun sequence.
GGGGAUUUAGCUCAGCGGUAGAGCGCUUGCCUAGCACGCGCAAGGCCCUGGGUUCAGUCCCCA